rnacentral:rRNA from 1 species
GACAGAGGGUGCAAACGUUGUUCGGAAUUACUGGGCGUAAAGCGCGUGUAGGCUGCUUCGCAAGUCGGAUGUGAAAGCCCUGGGCUCAACCCAGGAAGUGCAUUCGAAACUGCAGAGCUGGAGUCCUGGAGAGGAAGGCGGAAUUCUCGGUGUAGAGGUGAAAUUCGUAGAUAUCGAGAGGAACACCGGUGGCGAAGGCGGUUCUCUGGGACGGUACUGACGCUGAGACGCGAAAGCGUGGGGAGCGAACAGG